rnacentral:rRNA from 1 species
UACAGAGGUCUCAAGCGUUGUUCGGAUUCAUUGGGCGUAAAGGGUGCGUAGGCGGCGCGGUAAGUCGGGUGUGAAAUCUCGGAGCUUAACUCCGAAACUGCAUCCGAUACUGCCGUGCUUGAGGACUGGAGAGGAGACUGGAAUUUACGGUGUAGCGGUGAAAUGCGUAGAUAUCGUAAGGAAGACCAGUGGCGAAGGCGGGUCUCUGGACAGUUCCUGACGCUGAGGCGCGAAGGUCAGGGGAGCAAACGGG